rnacentral:lncRNA from 1 species
CACCGAGCCUGCCGAUCCAAGUGCUGUCAUCCACUCACACCUGUAACGAGCGGUCUCUAGCCAGGUGUAUCUGUUUGACCGUCAGUAGCUGAUUCUCGUGGUCAGUGUUUGGAUGUAUUGUCAAGGGACGCUAGCGUAAUCGUGCGGCUGUGUGUGACUCGGUUUUGUAUCAGUGGAUGGACAUUUAGCAGAGUAGGCAGGUUUAGAUACUGCAUUUUGUCAUCCCUUGAAAGUGACAUCACCACCAGCCUUUCACGGGGAUUAACUUUACGUGGUGUCCCUGUGCCUCUGACUUUUCCAUGUGGGGAAGUACCAUUGGAUUGUACCUGUAUUUGCAUAUCGGAGGCUGAGAGACAUUCUUGAAGGCCAGCUCACUGAGAUUGUUCUCAGAACCAGCAGGAUAUUGACAUCUUCCAAACAGGAUUAGACAAAGCAGUUUGUAGGUUAUGAACAUGACAACACAGGAAGAUUAAGUGCAAAUCUGGUUUUGCACGUGGUAGCUAAAGAGACGAUCGGAUAACUCAAGAGUUAACAUCAAUCUGGACCUGGAAACUAAGG